GGAUCAUAUAGCUCAGUGGCAGAGCAUCUGCUUUGCAGGCAGAAGGUCCCAAGUUCAAUCCCCGACGACAUAUCCA